rnacentral:rRNA from 1 species
AUGGCGCUGCGCAACCUGGCCGCGAAGUUGCGGAUCCCCACCUCUGCUGCUGCCCGGCUCCCGUCGCCCCCCACCCCUGCUGCUUUCCGGCUCCCAUCGGACCCUAGCGUUCCGCCGCCGUCCGUUUCUCGGCUCGAGAGCGCCAGAGACUGGUACCAGUUCCAGCGGGCACGUUAUGAUGAUGUGACAAGAGAGUUUAGAAACUUCAGGCUUGAGGUUGUGUGGUCUGAAAGGGUGGCUAACCUGCUUGAUUUGGCUUACAAGGUGGGUUGUCCUAUUGUCGUUGGUGGUGUGGUCAUGAAAGGGAUUGCCUAUCGGGUGCUUGCCUAUCAGAAGAUGUGA